rnacentral:rRNA from 1 species
CAGCAGUAGCCGCGGUAAUACGAAGGGGGCUAGCGUUGCUCGGAAUUACUGGGCGUAAAGGGAGCGUAGGCGGACAUUUAAGUCAGGGGUGAAAUCCCAGAGCUCAACUCUGGAACUGCCUUUGAUACUGGGUGUCUUGAGUGUGAUAGAGGUAUGUGGAACUCCGAGUGUAGAGGUGAAAUUCGUAGGUAUUCGGAAGAACACCAGUGGCGAAGGCGACAUACUGAAUCAUUACUGACGCUGAGGCUCGAAAGCGUGGGGAGCAAACAGGAUUAGAUACCCCUGUAGUCCCUGUCUCUUAUAC